rnacentral:rRNA from 1 species
AAUGAACGCUAGCGUUAAGCUUAACACAUGCAAGUCGAACGCAUAGCUCUUGGUGCUGUUAAUAGUAGCGUCAAGCAGAAGUGAGUGGCGAACGGGUGAGUAACGCGUGAGAACCUACCCCGCAAUCCAGGGACAGACGCCCGUUUAAUCCUGGAUAAAGAAGUGAAUGUGCAUAUCCUUUGGGAUUGCAGAGAAACUUUCUAAAGUCAUAGGCACGUUGUGGGAUGGGCUUGCGUAGGAUUAGGUUGUUGGGGAGGUAACGGCUCACCAAGCCCUAGAUCCUUAGCUGGUCUGAGAGGACGGUCAGCCACACUGGGACUGAGAUACGGCCCAGACGCCUACGGGCGGCAGCAGUGAGGAAUCUUAGACAAUGAGCGACAGCUUGAUCUAGCUAUAACGCAAGGGUGAAGAAGGCCCAAUUGGUUGUAAAACCCUUACCUGGGGGAAGAUUGUGACACACCCCUGGGGAGGAGUUCCGUCUAACUCUGUGCCAGCAGCCGCAGUA